GUAUUGAUUGCGUGUGACCGCAAAGAUAACAUUCUACACUGUAUCAAGUUUUGUGUGAAAACGUGAGCUCCUUUUGCAAAAGAAGACCCACGCGGUGAUGCACAAGGGGGGUGAGAUGGAUGUGUGAGAGUGCUUGAGCGUGCACAACCUUUUGAAAGGUCAGCGACAGCCCUUACACCUCGGUUGUACGAUAAUGAUCCUUCCGCAGGUUCACCUACGGAAA
rnacentral:misc_RNA from 1 species